rnacentral:rRNA from 1 species
UACGUAGGGUGCGAGCGUUAAUCGGAAUUACUGGGCGUAAAGUGUGCGCAGGCGGCGUCGCAAGUCGAGUGUGAAAGCCCCGGGCUUAACUUGGGAAUUGCGCUCGAAACUACGAUGCUGGAGUGUGGCAGAGGAAGGUGGAAUUCCACGUGUAGCGGUGAAAUGCGUAGAGAUGUGGAGGAACACCAAUGGCGAGGGCAGCCUUCUGGGCCAACACUGACGCUCAUGCACGAAAGCGUGGGGAGCAAACAGG